rnacentral:rRNA from 1 species
UACGGAGGGGGCUAGCGUUGUUCGGAAUUACUGGGCGUAAAGGGAGCGUAGGCGGACAUUUAAGUCAGGGGUGAAAUCCCAGAGCUCAACUCUGGAACUGCCUUUGAUACUGGAUGUCUUGAGUGUGAGAGAGGUAUGUGGAACUCCGAGUGUUGAGGUGAAAAUUUCGUAGAUAUUCGGAAAGAACACCAGUGGCGGAAGGCGACAUACUGGCUCAUUACUGACGCUGAGGCUCGAAAGCGUGGGGAGCAAACAGGG